rnacentral:lncRNA from 1 species
AUAUCAAAUGGUGUUCUAAUAUUACCCUUUUGUAUGAAAUUAUGAACAAAUAUGAUCUACUUAUUAAAUUUUUAGUUUUAAUCAUUAUAAUCAACAAUUUUAAAAAUCAGAAUUAGCAAAAUAUAUAAGAUUUUGGUAUGAUUGAUUUCUAUUUUGAUAUAUAAGCUCCUUUUUCAAAAGUUGGAAGGUAGGAAAGUAGAAGAUAU